GUUCAACAACUAGGAAUUCCUUGUGACCUGACCAGCUAACACUGGGCCUAGAUGACAGGAGGAGAAAAACUAUGGAUUCCAUGAAAGUUAAUAAAGAUUAGACUUGACCAGAAGAGACCUUCUGAAAAUCUUGGCUGCAGACUGAAGGAAGAAACCAAGAAGAACAACAAAACAGGGAUGUUCUUGCGACAUUGAACCUAUUCACGCAGAACUCAACGUGAUAAAUAUCAAGCCACACAGUUCACAUUUACUGAUGAAAGAUUAUAUACAGUCAAUCAGAAGACCUUCUCUGACCUUGAAUUCUAAAAUAAAUGUGUCAUCAAAGAUAAAGUAUAUUAAAUAGCAAAAUAGAAAAUGAAAUUAAGGAAAA